CGCUCCAAUUGGGGGGCCGACAGGAUUGAGGCUGGGCGUGGCCCUAUCUGGCGACCCGGAAGAAUUCAUAAAAAAAGCGGAGCUGAUCCUGCAGCUUCCAGAAUAAGGACCCUGAGACUCACCGGCUUCAGCUCUGGAGCACAGGAGAAAGAACAGCAGCGGGAGAGGAAGACCUGUCUUUUGAUGAAUAGUUCUCCCAGAGCUGGCAACCAUACUCUGCAUUCUACCAUCAGCAGAAUAGAGGAGAAUCUACAGCUGGAGAAGGCCUGUCCUGUAGCCCUGCACCAGUUGGACCAAAAAGCAGAGGUGUAAACAAAUGAAGGACAUCCGUUUUCACUCAUAUAAUGAGAAGCGAAGAGGUAGGUAGUCCAGGGCAAGGAUGAUAGUCCCACAACAUCAUUAAGGUUCACAUCCACCAAGUCUCAAGAUUUAUUUCACUUGCACUGGCCGAAGGCAAGAGGAUGGAAUAGAGACAGCUCCAGCUCCAGUCAGGUGACCAAUUUCAGAAAUGAGGACUGAGCUAUCUGCUUAUAUUUCCUUCCUUGCUCUGUGAUGUGUGUAUUUGCAUAUUUUAACAGAUUUCCUGUUUCUCUCUUUUCUGCCUUCUGCUAUUUUAUAUGUGGUAUGUUGUUGGUGGUGAAGUUUACAGUUUAGUCUACAGUUUAUAAAAUACCUGUUUGGGAAUGUGACUAACUUAGAGGUGGAAUGGGCAUCACCGAGACAUCCCAUUCUCGGAGUCGAAAGCAGUAACAGAUGAGAUUGGGUUAUUUCAGUUCCGGGGAGAGUUAAGCCUCAUCUUCCUUUUACAAAAGAUAGUGGGCAGCCAAAUGAUGGAUUGUAGUGGACAUUUGCCAUGUACGUGGCAGAUCCUUGGUGUCUUUUGAGUGCCCGUGUUAAGGGAAUGCCCAUUUCUUAUGACUCUUGCCUUCCUAAGGUAGAGUUCAC